rnacentral:rRNA from 1 species
GACGAACGCUGGCGGCGUGCUUAACACAUGCAAGUCGAACGGUGAUGCUCCAGCUUGCUGGCGUGGAUCAGUGGCGAACGGGUGAGUAACACGUGAGCAACCUGCCCCAGACUCUGGAAUAAGCGCUGGAAACGGCGUCUAAUACUGGAUACGAAACUGGCCCGCAUGGGCAUGGUUUGGAAAGUUUUUCGGUUUGGGAUGGGCUCGCGGCCUAUCAGCUUGUUGGUGAGGUAAUGGCUCACCAAGGCGACGACGGGUAGCCGGUCUGAGAGGGCGACCGGCCACACUGGGACUGAGACACGGCCCAGACUCCUACGGGAGGCAGCAGUGGGGAAUAUUGCACAAUGGGCGAAAGCCUGAUGCAGCGACGCCGCGUGAGGGAUGACGGCCUUCGGGUUGUAAACCUCUUUCAGCAGGGAAGAAGCGAAAGUGACGGUACCUGCAGAAGAAGCACCGGCUAACUACGUG